rnacentral:lncRNA from 1 species
UCUUCACGUGUCCGAACCAUCUCAAUCGUGCUUCCCGCAUCUUGCACUCCACUGAAGUCACACCAACCUUCUCCCGGAUAGUCUCAUUCCGAACUCUAUCCCCUCUAGUCAGUCCACACAUCCAGCGCAACAUCCGCAUUUCUGCCACCUUCAUUUUUUGGAUGUGGGAGUUCUUAACUGGCCAACACUCCGCUCCAUACAGCAAGGCCGGACGGAUUACCACCCUGUAGAAUUUGCCUUUAAGCUUGGGCGGCACCUUCUUAUCACACAGUACCCCCGACACGAGUUUCCACUUCAUCCAUCCCGCCCCAAUACGGUGCGAGACAUCCUCGUCAAUCUCACCGUUACUCUAGAUCACGGACCCAAAUCAAACACAUAUGAUGAAAUAAAAUAAGAAGAGAUAAAGCUGGACCUUCCGAUAAUGAAUUUUGUUGAUAAUAACGAAUUUAAAAGAAAUCCAAACUCGAAACCCCAAAUAGAAAGCCUCGACAACGAACUAAACUCCAACUCAAUAUCGAGAAAUAAAUCCAAACUCGAAACCCCAAAUAGAAAGCCUCGACAACGAACCAAACUCCAACUCAAUAUCGAGAAAUAACGAUCCGGACAGAUUUGAAUCCUAAGAAAGAAGAAAUAGCAAGCAACUCGAGACCGAAAUUAUGAAAAAUCAAGGAAAACUGUAUCCGAGAUCUCGCCGAAAUUGGCUAAUUUUGGUCGUUGGUCCGUAUUUUCGCAGCGAGAGAGACGAUUUUUAGGAUCGACGGGGCCUAAAUCCGUCGGAAAGCCACUGGUUCCAGCGAGAUUAGCUAUUCUCGACUAGAUUCGCCCCAAAUCAAGAGAAAACCAAGAGAUUCCGGCGAAGCAGUUGCCAGAACAGUGACCAAACGCACAAAACUCAUUUUCUCCCUCGAUUCUCACUUCAUCUCAAGUCAUUUUCACUUAUUUUUCUUAAUUGUUUUCACUGUAUGUGUCGUGGGUGUCUUUUUCCUUUUUCCUCCGUCUCCCUUGUGCUUAUAUUUUGUGUCCCUCUGUUCGAUUUUUAUGGAGUCUCUCUUAUCCGCGUGAGUGGGUUUCCAGUGAAUCCCCUGGUGAGUGUGUGCGUGAAUGAUGGUGAAGAAACCCCCCCCCCCAAGUGAGAUCUGUGUAUAUGUAUAUGGGGAGUGAGUGAUGUGUGUAGAGUGUGAGAGUGAUGAGUGGGUGUGUUUUCUUGGUAUGUUGUGUGUGCAGAGUCUAUCUGUGUGUGAUAUGUGUUAAUCCAUGGAGAAAAAUUGAAGUUUGUUUUUUC